rnacentral:rRNA from 1 species
AACGAACGCUGGCGGCAUGCCUAACACAUGCAAGUCGAACGGGAUCCUGGCUUCGGCCAGGUGAGAGUGGCGGACGGGUGAGUAACGCGUGGGAACCUGCCCAUUGGUCUGGGAUAACUGCGGGAAACUGCAGCUAAUACCGGAUGUACCCGAGAGGGGAAAGAUUUAUCGCCGAUGGAGGGGCCCGCGUCAGAUUAGGUAGUUGGUGAGGUAACGGCUCACCAAGCCUACGAUCUGUAGCUUGGUCUGAGAGGAUGAUCAGCCACACUGGGACUGAGAUACGGCCCAGACUCCUACGGGAGGCAGCAGUGGGGAAUAUUGGACAAUGGGGGCAACCCUGAUCCAGCAAUGCCGCGUGAGUGAUGAAGGCCUUAGGGUUGUAAAGCUCUUUUACCAGGGACGAUGAUGACGGUACCUGGAGAAUAAGCCCCGGCUAACUUCGUGCCAGCAGCCGCGGUAAU